UACAGAGGGUGCGAGCGUUAAUCGGAGUUACUGGGCGUAAAGGGCGCGUAGGCGGUUAUUUAAGUUAGAUGGGAAAGCCCGGAGCUCAACUCCGGAAUUGCCAUUGAAACUGUUAGACUUGAGGAUGAGAGAGGUGAGUGGAAUUCCCAGUGUAGAGGUGAAAUUCGUAGAUAUUGGGAAGAACACCGGUGGCGAAGGCGGCUCACUGGCUCAUUACUGACGCUCAGGCGCGACAGCGUGGGGAUCAAACAGG
rnacentral:rRNA from 1 species